GUUGCCUUCCAGUUUAAUGGGCCAAGUUAACAGAUCAGCUGUGUUAGCAUGGUCUCUCCUCUCUCUUCUGUUACAUUCAGGUUUUGCCAAGAGGACAGAAGUUGUUGGUGUCCAUUUCUGCACAAAGUUUAACGGUGUGAGAGUGACCUGCUCUGAUGGACCUGCUGUUCCAGGACACGCUACACUCCAGCGGGUUUCUUCCCUUCAGUUGAAUGCAAACAUACAGCAUGCAUGACUUGUGCCUCCUUAAGUGACUUGGCUUCAUGGCUUUCCUUCAUGAAAUGGUCUGCAUUGUACAGGUGCUUUUGAACCUUGUCUUAUCAGAGUCAAUGGAGGCAGCUCGGUUUACAUCCAGGGAAAGCAGAAACAUUGACUUUUUUCCUCUGUUUGCAAAGUUUUGGGAGCAGCAGUCCAUGGCAAGGGUUGGUGAAAAGCCACUAUAAAUUAAUAAUAGCAAUGCUAGCAUACUUUCUUGCAACGUAAAUGUGAAUCAUGGCCUGAACUUGUAUUUCACUUGUACAAGGAUGCUUGAAUCUUACUUUGUAAUAGAACAGCAACUUCUAACAUUAAGAAUAUGCUUUUUUUUUUUUUUUUUUUUUUUUUUUUUUCCACUUUUGAGGUCUGGGUUGUGGUGCAGAUUGCCCACACCAGCAUAGUGUGAAUGUGAUAGAUUUUUGUCAUGAGUUAUUAAUAGUGAGCACUGCUGCCUUAUUUUAAAUUGCUGAAUUGCAGAGCUGUGUGUUAUGGGCUUUGGAGUCUUUCUGCAGUAGGUGAAUGGAUUAUUGCUACCCAUGUCAUAACUAUCAUGUAACAACCUAAUGGUUAUAUGUUGUGUACACAGUCUGUUUUUCUUUUAUAUACAUCCUUUUGUUUGUCUUUAAGGCAGAACUUACAAGCAAUUAUCAUAGCUCUUUCUGAGGUGCCAGCUUCUGCACAAGGCCUGGUCUGCCUGCUUCAUCAAUUUUGGCUUGUCUUAAAAAGGCACCACUAAACCGGUGGACUUAAAUCAGUGCUAGAAUCUGUAUAGAUGCUGAGGAAACAUGGACAGUCAUGCUAUCCAUAGGGUGGGUAAAGUGAUGAAUACACUCUUCAGUAGGAAGCUAGCACACCUGCUGCCAGGUGUCAGAUUGGUGCAGUGCAGUGCAAAAUCAGCCCGUUUAUCUCCAGCCACAGCUGGCAUGGUUUAAGGUGAGCCUUGCUCCUACGUUGAAGUAAAUGAGGAGGACUCAAACUUUCUGGUUUGAUGGCUCUGAUGGAAGGGGACUAUCUUUCAUUCAGCUGAUGGCAUGAAGCAGCUUUUAGGGGAGUAAUGCCUUUAACAGCUUCAAAAAGCUGCUAAAAGGCGAAUUUAUAUUUUUAAGUUUUGUACCAUAAAAAUGUACAUAUAAAAUCUCAUAUACUCAAGGAAGCAGAUGCAGACCACAUAGGUCUAAGCCAGAUUAAAGCAAUGCACAACUGCCUAAAUAUUAAUGCACAGUAUUUCAAUAUAUCAUUUGUUAAGUCCAUGUAAGGCACAGAGAUCGGAAGAGAAGAAAGCACUCUACAUUACAAAAAUUACCAAGUUCUGCUUUCUAAAUCAACUGAGGUAUUAGAAAGAAUAAAUGUCAUGGAAAGUCAAUAAGGCUUGACUCC
rnacentral:lncRNA from 1 species